GAUGAACGCUGGCGGCGUGCCUAAUACAUGCAAGUCGAGCGAACAGACGAGGAGCUUGCUCCUCUGACGUUAGCGGCGGACGGGUGAGUAACACGUGGAUAACCUACCUAUAAGACUGGGAUAACUUCGGGAAACCGUAGCUAAUACCGGAUAAUAUAUUGAACCGCAUGGUUCAAUAGUGAAAGACGGUUUUGCUGUCACUUAUAGAUGGAUCCGCGCCGCAUUAGCUAGUUGGUAAGGUAACGGCUUACCAAGGCAACGAUGCGUAGCCGACCUGAGAGGGUGAUCGGCCACACUGGAACUGAGACACGGUCCAGACUCCUACGGGAGGCAGCAGUAGGGAAUCUUCCGCAAUGGGCGAAAGCCUGACGGAGCAACGCCGCGUGAGCGAUGAAGGUCUUCGGAUCGUAAAACUCUGUUAUUAGGGAAGAACAAAUGUGUAAGUAACUAUGCACGUCUUGACGGUACCUAACCAGAAAGCCACGGCUAACUACGUG
rnacentral:rRNA from 1 species